rnacentral:rRNA from 1 species
GACGGGUAUCCGGGCCUGAGAGGGUGAACGGACACACUGGAACUGAGACACGGUCCAGACUCCUACGGGAGGCAGCAGUAGGGAAUAUUGCUCAAUGGGGGAAACCCUGAAGCAGCAACGCCGCGUGGAGGAUGAAGGUUUUAGGAUUGUAAACUCCUUUUGUUAGAGAAGAUUAUGACGGUAUCUAACGAAUAAGCACCGGCUAACUCCGUGCCAGCAGCCGCGGUAAUACGGAGGGUGCAAGCGUUACUCGGAAUCACUGGGCGUAAAGAGUGCGCAGGCGGGAUAGCAAGUCAGAUGUGAAAUGCUAUGGCUUAACCAUAGAACUGCAUUUGAAACUGUUAUUCUA